UGGGGAAUAUUGGGCAAUGGGCGCAAGCCUGACCCAGCAACGCCGCGUGAAGGAAGAAGGCUUUCGGGUUGUAAACUUCUUUUAUCAGGGACGAAGAAAGUGACGGUACCUGAUGAAUAAGCCACGGCUAACUACGUGCCAGCAGCCGCGGUAAUACGUAGGUGGCGAGCGUUGUCCGGAUUUACUGGGUGUAAAGGGCGCGUAGGGCGGGGAUGCAAGUCAGAUGUGAAAUCCAUGGGCUCAACCCAUGAACUGCAUUUGAAACUGUGUCUCUUGAGUGUCGGAGAGGUAGAUGGAAUUCCUAGUGUAGCGGUGAAAUGCGUAGAUAUUAGGAGGAACACCAGUGGCGAAGGCGAUCUACUGGACGAUAACUGACGCUGAGGCGCGAAAGCGUGGGGAGCAAACAGGAUUAGAUACC
rnacentral:rRNA from 1 species